GGGCUAUAGCUCAGUGGGAAGAGCAGCUUCUUGGCAUGCAGAAGGCCCCGGGUUCCAUCCCCAAUGGCAUCU